rnacentral:rRNA from 1 species
AUUGAACGCUGGCGGCAGGCCUAACACAUGCAAGUCGAGCGGAUGAAGAGAGCUUGCUCUCUGAUUCAGCGGCGGACGGGUGAGUAAUGCCUAGGAAUCUGCCUGGUAGUGGGGGACAACGUUUCGAAAGGAGCGCUAAUACCGCAUACGUCCUACGGGAGAAAGUGGGGGAUCUUCGGACCUCACGCUAUCAGAUGAGCCUAGGUACGAUUAGCUAGAUGGUGAGGUAAAGGCUCACCAAGGCGACGAUCGUUAACUGGUCUGAGAGGAUGAUCAGUCACACUGGAACUGAGACACGGUCCAGACUCCUACGGGAGGCAGCAGUGGGGAAUAUUGGACAAUGGGCGAAAGCCUGAUCCAGCCAUGCCGCGUGUGUGAAGAAGGUCUUCGGAUUGUAAAGCACUUUAAGUUGGGAGGAAGGGCAGUAAGUUAAUACCUUGCUGUUUUGACGUUACCGACAGAAUAAGCACCGGCUAACUUCGUGCCAGCCGCCGCAGUAAAAC